UACGGAGGGUGCGAGCGUUGUCCGGAAUCACUGGGCGUAAAGCGUCUGUAGGUGGUCAAAUAAGUCAACUGUUAAAUCUUGAGGCUCAACCUCAAAAUCGCAGUCGAAACUAUUCGACUAGAGUAUAGUAGGGGUAAAGGGAAUUUCCAGUGGAGCGGUGAAAUGCGUAGAGAUUGGAAAGAACACCGAUGGCGAAGGCACUUUACUGGGCUAUUACUAACACUGAGAGACGAAAGCUAGGGUAGCAAAUGGG
rnacentral:rRNA from 1 species